rnacentral:rRNA from 1 species
GACGAACGCUGGCGGCGUGCUUAACACAUGCAAGUCGAACGGUGAAGCUCCAGCUUGCUGGGGUGGAUCAGUGGCGAACGGGUGAGUAACACGUGAGCAACCUGCCCCUGACUCUGGAAUAAGCUCUGGAAACGGCGUCUAAUACUGGAUACGAGAAGUGUCCGCAUGGGCACUUUCUGGAAAGUUUUUCGGUUGGGGAUGGGCUCGCGGCCUAUCAGCUUGUUGGUGAGGUAAUGGCUCACCAAGGCGACGACGGGUAGCCGGCCUGAGAGGGCGACCGGCCACACUGGGACUGAGACACGGCCCAGACUCCUACGGGAGGCAGCAGUGGGGAAUAUUGCACAAUGGGCGAAAGCCUGAUGCAGCGACGCCGCGUGAGGGAUGACGGCCUUCGGGUUGUAAACCUCUUUCAGCAGGGAAGAAGCGAAAGUGACGGUACCUGCAGAAGAAGCACCGGCUAACUACGUG